CAAUUAGAAGAACAUUCAUGGAUACAGACGGAUUGAGAUGGGUGGCAUGACAAUAUCACUUGGUAAGAUAAGAGAUUUAUGGUCGUGACAGGUUUUCUGCUGAACUUCAAGAUCAAACAUUCAAAAUUAAUCCCUUUAAGAAGAAAAGAUUGGAUCAACUUUAGCAUGCAAGGACAACCUGGAGAGAACUAUAGUGCUUUGCUGUUAUGGUGCUACUGCAACAAUA